GCAUUGGUGGUUCAGUGGUAGCAUAUUUGCCUUCCAUGCAGGAGACCUGGGUUUGAUUCCUGGCUAGUGCA
rnacentral:tRNA from 1 species